rnacentral:rRNA from 1 species
UACAGAGGUCCCAAGCGUUGUUCGGAUUUACUGGGCGUAAGGGGUGCGUAGGUGGCGGGGUAAGUCUGGUGUGAAAGCUCCGAGCUCAACUCGGAAAAGCAUUGGAAACUAUCCCGCUUGAGGGUCGGAGGGGAGACUGGAAUUCUCGGUGUAGCAGUGAAAUGCGUAGAUAUCGAGAGGAACACCAGUGGCGAAGGCGAGUCUCUGGACGACUCCUGACACUGAGGCACGAAAGCUAGGGGAGCAAACAGG